rnacentral:rRNA from 1 species
CAGCCGCCGCGGUAAUACCAGCCCCGCGAGUGGUCGGGACGGUUAUUGGGCCUAAAGCGCCCGUAGCCGGCCCGGCAAGUCCCUCCUUAAAGCCUCGGGCCCAACCCGAGGACGGGGGGGAUACUGCCGGGCUAGGGGGCGGGAGAGGCCGGCGGUACUCCCGGGGUAGGGGCGAAAUCCGUUAAUCCCGGGAGGACCACCAGUGGCGAAGGCGGCCGGCUGGAACGCGCCCGACGGUGAGGGGCGAAAGCCGGGGGAGCGAACCGGAUUAGAUACCCGGGUAGUCCCGGCUGUAAACGCUGCGGGCUAGGUGUCGGGAGUUCCUUGGGAACUCCCGGUGCCGAAGGGAAGCCGGAAGCCCGCCGCCUGGGGAGUACGGCCGCAAGGCUGAAACUUAAAGGAAUUGGCGGG